rnacentral:rRNA from 1 species
CCUCGAAGUCUCUGGAAGGAUGUCCAAGAAAAGCUCCUAGGGUUGAAAACUGGUAACCGUACUAAAACUGACACAGGUAGGCGAGACGAGUAGUCUAAGGCGCUCGGGAAAAUGGUGGUUAAGGAACUCUGCAAAUUCACCCCGUAAGUUCGCGAUAAGGGGUACCCUUGAGGGCGCAAGCCUUCGAGGGUCACAGAAAAUCGGCUCUAGCAACUGUUUAUCAAAAACACAGGACUCUGCUAACUCGCAAGAGGAUGUAUAGAGUCUGACGCCUGCCCGGUGUUGGUAGGUUAAGGAAGAAGGUUAGCCUCACGGCGAAGCUUGCGACCGAAGCCCCAAUAAACGGCGGCCGUAACUAUGACGGUCCUAAGGUAGCGAAGUUCCUUGUCGGGUAAGUUCCGACCUGCAUGAAUGGCGUAAUGACUGGAGCACUGUCUCAACCACCAACCCGGUGAAAUUGUAGUCGUGGUGAAGAUGCCACGUUCCCGCGGUUAGACGGAAAGACCCCAUGAACCUUGACUGUAGGCUGAUUUUGGGCUGAGAUUUGUUUUGUGUAGGAUAGGUGGGAGGCUUUGAACCGGUGGCGCCAGCCAUUGGGGAGCCGACGUUGAAAUACCACCCUGAACAUGUUUUAGUUCUAACCUCGAUCCAGUGAACCUGGCGAGGGACAGUGUCAGUUGGGCAGUUUGACUGGGGCGGUCUCCUCCAAAAAGGUAACGGAGGAGUACAAAGGCACCCUCAGCCUGGUCGGCAAUCAGGCACUGAGCGCAAUGGUAGAAGGGUGCUCAACUGCGAGACCUAUAAGUCGAGCAGAUGUGAAAGCAGGUCAUAGUGAUCCGGUGAUUCCGUAUGGAAGGGUCAUCGCUCAUCAGAUAAAAGGUACUCUGGGGAUAACAGGCUGAUCGCUACCGAGCGUCCACAGCGGCGUAGCGGUUUGGCACCUCGAUGACGGCUCAUCACAUCCUGGGGGUGAAGAAGCUCCCAAGGGUUUGGCUGUUCGCCAAUGAAAGUGGUACGUGAGCUGGGUUCAGACCGUCGUGAGACAGGUCGGUCCCUAUCUGCCGUGGGCGUACGAAACUUGAGGAGCCUCUUCUUUAGUACGAGAGGAUUUAGAAGGACUCAGCUCUGGUGUACCAGUUGUCACGCUAGUGGCACGGCUGGAUAGCUAUCUGGGGAAAGGAUAAACGCUGAAAGCAUCUAAGCGUGAAGCCCGCUCCAAGAAUAGGUUUCGUAUGGUAG